AUACGUAGGGGGCGAGCGUUGUCCGGAAUGAUUGGGCGUAAAGGGCGCGUAGGCGGCUUUGCAAGUCAGUAGUGGAAGUCCAUUUUUCAAGGAUGGAAGUGCUACAGAAACUGCGGAGCUUGAGUGCAGGAGAGGUUAUCGGAAUUCCCGGUGUAGCGGUGAAAUGCGUAGAGAUCGGGAGGAACACCAGUGGCGAAGGCGGGUAACUGGACUGCAACUGACGCUGAGGCGCGAAAGUGUGGGGAGCAAACAGGAUUAGAUACCCUGGUAGUCCACACCGUAAACGAUGAAUGCUAGGUGUAGGAGGUAUCGACCCCUUCUGUGCCGCAGUAAACACAGUAAGCAUUCCGCCUGGGGAGUACGGUCGCAAGAUUAAAACUCAAAGGAAUUGGCGGGG
rnacentral:rRNA from 1 species